UCCUGGAACAAUCAUUUCAAGCUCCAGAUUUGCACAGCAGGUCCAAGAUCCUGGCUUCAGGCAGCAGCUCGCUGCUCAGUCUUAUAUCACACAAAAGAGCUUUGCCCAGGCGCGUCGCCCGCUCUUUUCAUCCAAUCCUCUCCUGACAGGCAGUCUGGAAAGAAAGCGUACUCAUAUUGAUUCCGAAGGCACAAUUGGAACUCCGGCAUUUUCUUCUGGGCUCAGGGGUCGAGACGAAGGGGUUGGCAGUGCUGGCUGGGAAGCAAAGGAACAGCAGACACACAGGAGCUGAAGUGACAGUAAAUGAAGCUGUGGUCUUCAGGCUUAGGUGGAGUCGGGCGGGCGUUCUGCGCAUCUGUACCUCCGACAAAUGGAUUUGGUCCUCAGUUCCAGCCAUCAUCUGAUUUCAAGUUUGGUUACCUAGGAAACAGAGGGCACACUGCUGGGACAGUCAGCCCGUGUUCUGUGCCGACCAAAGCUAUUAAAACCCAUCAAGUCAGCCUCGGAGAAGCUGAGCACGGACAGUUUCAACUUCCAGCCAGGUAUUUAUUUAUUUAUUUCCCUGCAUCAGCAGCAAGAUGAGUUAUUGAACCACUCAGUCUAUCGAUUGGGGCAGCUUUCCCCUCCACAUCCUCUUGGUCUCCAAAGCCCCUGUGGAGUUGGUGGCAGCCUGGAAGCCCUUUGUUGAUAGCUAGUCCACAGCAGGGAAGCCAGGCAGCAUUAAUCCUCCAGGAGCCAGCACUGGGGUCAGAGCUGUGGUUAGACAGGCGUCCUGACUCAAAUCUUAUUCUUUCCUGUUUCAUUCUGGAAAAGUACACUAAAACACACGCCUAAAACCCCAGCAUUAGAAGGCUGAGGCAGGAGGAUCAUUGCAAAUUCAAGGCCAGCCUAUGCCACACACCAAGAUUUUAUCUCAAGAGCCAAACAUUAAAGUCCUUAAUAAUAUGUUGAUAAGGGCUCUGAUUCCUCAACAGCAACUACUCUGGAGUCUUGCCAGUCUCCUGCCAACUCUGUUUAGACCUUAAAAAAAAAAUCUCAGGUAGGAGACUAGAGAGAUGCUCAAUGGUUAGGGACAUUUGUUCUGCUUCUAGGCAAUGCAGGUUUGAUUCUCAGCACCUAUAUGGUGGUUAACAACUGUCUGUAACUUCAGUUCCAAGAGACCUGAUGCCCCCUUCUGGGCUCUGAAGACAUAAGACACACAUAUGGUGCACAGACAUGUGUACUGACAGAACCCUCACACACAUAAGAUAAGUAGAUCUUUAAAACCAGCAAUUAAAAGUAUUACCAUCAGCCUCAUUUGUCUGCAGGACCCAUGUUCACAGAUCCCACAAUGAGCAGAAAAUACUGAUGGAAUGGAAUGGAAUCUGAACUGAACACACACACACACACACACACACACACACACACACACAGAGAGAGAGAGAGAGAGAGAGAGAGAGAGAGAGAGAGAUUUCUGUCUUUAUUUCCCAAACAAUACAGUGUAAUGAUUAUUUACACUGCAUAUAACUAUGGUAGGUAGUCAAUCCUCAAGAGGUGACUUAAAGUGCAAGAGAGGGUGUCUGCAGACUCUGUGCCAAUACUGUUCUGUUCUGUAACAGACUCCAGUACUUGAACCUCUGUAGCUUUCCUGUCUGUGAGUGUCCUGGAGUGAGUGUUCACUGAGAUAUGUCACCAUUGUCUGCAUAUGCCCCUGUUUUCUGAUAAGAAUUCCUGGCCUUUCUCUUGACACAGCCCUUCCACUGCAGUACUCACCUAUUGCUGAGUAACAAAGGCCUUCAAAUUCUGGCAGCUUCAUACAGUAAACAUGGAUCCUCUCUCUCAGUUUGGGAGAUCUCCUGUAGCUGAGGGGUCUGGUUUAGGAUCUGUAUGGAGAUAGGUCAGCUCUCAGCUGCAGAUAGGCUGUUUUGGCAUUUGCUUAUGUGGUUGUAAGAGGCUUAGCUCCUCACUGUGUUGACUUAGUAGCAGGAUCACCAGAAUGUCCUCAAGAGGAGACAACUCUCCAAAAAAUGUGAGAAAGAAAGAAGCCAGAAUCUUCUAUAGCCCAGUCUUGUAAGAGGCUCUUGGGUGUGUGUCUGUGCAACAACAGAUAGAAAUUAAAUUGAGAAAUUGCUUCUGAGUGGAAUAUGCCUGGACACUUCCUUGCCAUUAUUAUCCAAACAGUGUAACAACUAUUAAAAGAGAAUCUACACUGUGUUCAACAUCACAAGAACGUGAAGAUGCUUUCCCUACAGCAGAGGAUAUUAGGUCACAUGCAAAUGCUAUAUUUGGUCACUGUGGGUUUUCAGCACAAGUCCUGGCAUGAAUCCCCCAUGGACACUGAGGGACAGUUGUCUUACUUAAACAUCCCUUCAAACUGCGGUGGUAUUUCCACAAAACUAGUUCAGAAACUGGACCAUGACUCUACAGACAAGUGUCUCCGUCUCCAGGUGUCGAUGGCUGGCGUUUCUGAGCAGCAUGAAAUCACAUCAGGUUCAUUCAUCAAAUCUGACCGACGAAGGCACCAAGGUGCCACGAAGUUAAGUGACCUGAGCCUGUUCACAUAGAAGAUGAGAAAAGGAGCUCUGUCUUACACCCCUAGCUUUCCUUUAGCUUGUAAAACUCAGGCAUUUAUUGCUCACAGUUCUAGACACCAAGAGUUUGAAUCUGGGGUGCUGGCAAGAUGUUUUAUACACCCGGUUCCAGGCUCACAGGAGACUCCUCACAUGUUGAUGGAACAAAAUGGCUUCCUUACAACUCUUCAGGCUUGUUUUUUUUAUGCAUUUCUACUUUAAAUUGAUGCAUCAUAUUUGUCCAUAUUUGUGAAGUACAGUGUGAUUAUAUGUAUACAUUCAUAUAUGUACACAUAUAUGUAUAUACAGUGGUACAUUAUAUGUACACACUAUUUAGUAAUCAGGCUAAUUGGUACCUUUAAAAUAUAUCAUUCAAGAUCCUUUCUAUCAACUAUUUUGAAAUAUUCAAGUAACUGUUUCAAACACAGCCACUCCACCAUGCUGUAGAGCAUUGGAGAUUCAUUUUCCUAUUUAACUGUAUCCUGUUCUUAGCUACUGUCUUCAUCCUUCUCUCCCCAGCUCUCUUCCCAAGCACACAGCCCAUCCUCUUAAUACUGUGCCAUGCUGGGGUCCCUCAGACAAUUGUUUCUUCAUAAUCCUUCCUUAUAGAGAUGCCAUUUACUAAAAGGCUGGUGAGGUCUUGGGUUUCUCUCUCACAUCAAUUAUUUUACAUGCCAUUUGGUAGCUGAUAACUCACUGUCGAGAGUCUCAAGGUGAGACUCACCAUGUAAAGCCAAGAUCAGUGAGUAGAGGGGAACUGUGGUGGCUUGAAUAGGUAUGGCCCUCAUAGACUCAUGUGCUUGGAUGCUUGGCUCAUUGGGAGUGGCACUGUUAGAAGGUCUUGUUGGAAAGGUGUGGACUCAUUGAAGGAAGUGUUUCACUGUGGGGAUAGGCUUUGAGAUCUCAGGUGCUCAAGCUAGGCCUGCUGUCAUUUUGAUUUUGCUGCCUGCCGAUUGAGAUGGAGAACUUCUCUAUCACCAUGUCUGUAUACACGCCACCAUGUCUUCUGCCAUGAUGAUAAUGGGCAAAACCUCUAAAACUGUAAGCCAGCCCCAACGAAAUGUUUUCCUGUAGGAGAGUUGCCUUGGUCAUGAUAUCUUUUCACAGCAGUGGAAACCCUAAGACAUCAACCAAGCCUCUGCUGUCAACCUCUUCUGCCCACAUCACAACAAGUGUUCUGAUACUAGGGGAUGCAUGCUUAGUAGUUCCUGGAAAUUUUUACGGAAGACAUAAUCUUGCCUGGGCUGUGCAUUAACAAACUGACUCCUACACUGUGUUAAAUAUUACAGUCUUGGCAAUGGAAGGAUGACAACAAAACGCCAUUGGUGCCACCUGCAGAUGCAGCUUGCCGUGUGAACCAAAGUGCCAAUGUUGAAAUUCUAGCUGGCACACUAUGUUAUUUCAUUCCUGAAAUUCAAGGUUUUCUUCUAUGACUCCAUUCAGCACAUCUUUCUUGAAUACAUUCUAUGCUCUGUCAUUCAGCAUGACAAUCAGUGACAAGGUAGGCAUCUGGUGCUACCACCCUUAGCCAUGGGCCCUGAGUAAAAGAUGCUUAAUGCUUAUCUGGGUGGCUGAUUGGACUACUUGUAGAUAUAUCAGAUGUCUGGUCAGGAUUCUGGACUGCCGGUCAAUUCUCAGGAAUGGGAUCUGGGGUGUAUGUACUAUGGGGUCUGUGUUGUGCGUCCCAACAUCUCCUUUUAGAAGCAAAUCUAAUUUGUGAAAAUGAGCCAUUUGUUUAAAAAAGAAUGGGAAUUACCAGAAUGACUGCUUAUGGAGUGCCUCUUAGAUGUCAGGAACAAACACUCUGCAGGCAUUUUAAUUCCAACAUAAUUCUCAUGAGCACUUAAUGAAGUAGGCCUGGUAGCGAGUACCAGUCAAGUGUGUGCUCGAGGUGAUGCAGUUAGUAGAUGGUGCUGGACUUUGAACUUGGAUCAGCUGGAGUCCACAGCCUAUGGGUCUGAGCCUUAGGUAAGUCAGUUUCAUGUAGCCGUGUGUUCUACAGUCAGAGCUUCAACUACCCAAAGAUUGAGAAAACAUAGCAUCUAGAAAGAACACAUGCAGAUUUAGUCUUAUCAUCUUUACCUGCGUGAUACAAUACAGCAUCCACAUCAGUUACUUUUCUCACUGCUGUGGAAAAAUACUCAGCAAACACAACUUUGAAAUAGAAUGUGUGUGUGUGUUUACUUAAAUUAUUUUAAAACCUGAGUGCUUCCCUACCCCUACCCCCACAGAAAUCCAUCAACUGUGAAGAGCUAUCCUUCAGCAUCCCCCAUUCCUGUCACGAUUUUUGAGCAGUCUUUUCAAUGGCUUCCUGUCUAGAUUGGUUUUGGGAGGUGGGAUUGGAGGGAGGGGAAAGGUGGUCACAGAAGCCUUCUAUGUCUCUCAGCUGUGAGUCUGAAGUCAUUGAUUCCACUGUAGAAGUUUCCUAGCCCUUUAAGGUCAGUGAGAGCAUUGGUCAUAGACUUCCACAUGGUCUCUGGCUAUAAAAUAGGCCAAGGACAUCAACACAGACCACAAACAUUCCCAUGGCCUUUGGUGAUAACAUGGGCCACAGAGAUCAACACAGCUCCUGACAGCAGCAAAGACCACAGACAUCACCAUGGUUUCAGAAGGCAUCACAGACUAUGGACAUCCACAAGGCCUUUGGUCAUAACAUGAGCCAUGGAUACCCAAAUGGCCCCCAGAAGCAGAAGGAAGGACUAAGGACACCAACUUGGCCCUCUGUGGCACAAUGGACCUCGGAUAUCACCAUGACCUUAGGCAGUAGCACCAGCUAUACAUAUAAACGUGGCCUUGGAGGUAACAAGGGUCACACAUCAAUUCUGCCUUCAGUGGUAAUAUGGACCAAAAACAUUAACACAGUGGAUUCAGGUAGCAGCACGGAUCACAGACACUUCCCGGCCUUCAGGGGUAAUGAAGACCGUGGAAGCCAUCGUGGCCCCUGGCUGCAGUAGGGCCACUGACACCAACAUGGCCUCAGAUUAUUUCAUCGUUUUUUUUUUUUUUUUCUUCUUCUUUUGUUUUGAGAGAGGUCACAAAUAUGGGGGUUGACCUGGGAGGACUGGGAAGUGAAUGUGAUGGGGGGUUCACUAUGUGAAAUUUCCAAAUAAUCAAUACAAUUAUUAUGUUAUUAAAAGAAGAAAUUGUCUCAGAAAAAAUUUAAAUGUAAAAAAAUUUAAAAUAUUAUUUUAAUUAUGAGUACAGGUGUAAUUAUGUGUAUGUUACCUAUGUGUGGAUGCCCCUGGGGUUACAGGCCUUUGACCCCCUGGGACUGGAUUUACAGGUCAUUGUGAGUCUCCCAAAGUGGUUGAUGAGAACUGGAUGAGGGUCCUUUUUGAGAGAUGUGUGUGCUCUUAACCACUGAGCCAUCUCUUCAGCCCCAGGGAUGGCUUAUUUUGCCUCAGAGUUGAAGGGUACAAAUCUAGCAUGGUAGAGAAGUCAUGGUUGUAGCAGUAUGAGGUUGCUGGACACAUUGUGCUCAGAGUCAGGAAGCAGAAAGAGAGAGAUGGAAGUGGGGACCCAGACCUUAUUCCGUCUGGGACCCAGACCAUGAAAUGGUUGCUGCUCACAUUUAAGGUGGGUCAUCUCUGCUCUGUUAAACCUUUCUGUAAGGACCCCUCAUAGACAUACCCAAAGGUGUGUCUCUUAGGUGAUUCUAAACUCCACUAAGUUCACAAUCAAGACUGACUAUCACUGUAUCAUAAAUAAUCUAGAGAUGAACUGAAGUAUAUAAAAAUAUACCUAUGGGUUAUGCAUAAACACUAUGCUGCUUUAUACAAGGGAUAUGAGAGCAUCUUCCAUUUUUGGUAUGUGUUUUAGUGUUGCUAUUGCUGUGAAGAGACAUCAUGACCACAGCAACUCUUAUAAAGGAAAACAUUGAAUUGGGGCUGGCUUACAGGUUUAGCCCAUUACCUUCAUGGUGGGAAGCAUGGUGGCACACAGGCAGACAUGAUGCUGGAGAAAGAGCCGAGAGUUCUACUUCUGGAUAGGCAGGCAGCAGCAAGCUUAAGUUUCUGAAACCUCAAUUCAUUCCCCCAGUGACACACUUCCUCCAAUAAGGCCACACCUACACCAGCAAGGCCAUAUGUCCUAAUCCUUACAAAUAUUGCCACUCUCUAUGAGCCAAUGGGGAUUUUUUUUCAUUCAAACCACAGUACCCCAGAGAUAUCAUAGAACCAUUCUUUUACAGAUAGUAGAAGAAAACUAUACUACAUGGUCAUCCACAUUAUCCAUGAAAAUUGUUUAUACCAGUUGAUCAAGCCUAUGCCUGGCCUUGGUCUCAGCUGACACAUUUGCCACUGCCUCCACCCAUGCUUUGAGAUGUCAACAGACUUCAAACUUCAUUUAGUAGCCCUUCAGUCACAAGGCAGAUAACUAAUAUCAGGAUUUUUCUCUGACUGUUUGGCUUUCUCCAUAAUAAUGCAGCUUAAUUAAGCUAGCCUCCCAAAGAGCUGCUCAGCUGAGACUGGCAGAGAGGAUUUGAAUUAAUCUUUCUUCUCUUAGAUGAUCCCAAGUCAAACUCAUUCAUGCCCACACAGGGAUGCGCUCUUCACCUGCAUGAUGGAAUUAAAAGAAGAAAUCCUCACUACAUUUACUAGACCAUGUGCGGAUGCUCAAACUAUGAUGUGCCUCCAACUCUUCAAUGCGGAUCCCUGGGCACUGAGCUAGUUCUAUUGAAUUGCUAUCUUAGGGAUAGUGGACCUGAUAGUCAUGGUAAUGAACACAGGACUGUAUCAUUUAAUUGGAUGGAAGAGAUAUCACUGGCACUUGGUUGGAUGCCUGAUCAUAUCUGAACUAGCUGAGGUCACAGUUGCAUGCAGCCCUAGGUUCAAGCCCUGAUUGUACCACUUUGAAGAUGGCUGACCUUCCAAAAAUUGUUUACGCCCUUUGGCUUCUUUUACGACAUGGUCUCUGUAGCUUUAGCUGUCCUGGAACUUGUUCUGUAGACCAGACUGGCCUCAAAGUCAAUGAUCUGCCUGCCUGUGCUUUCUGGGAUUAAAGGUGUGUACCACAACACCUGACUGGCUUUUAUUUCUUAUCAGUAAAAUGCAACGGACAACACUAUUCUGCCUUCAUUACAGCUAUUGCUGAUAAGGUCAUAGAUGAGCAUCUAAGCAUCUGGCACACUUGCCUGAUAAAUGAUGUUGCUGUACCUGCAGUUAUUUUGUUAUUCUAGAACUUCCAUGAUUCUUGAUACAAGUAGCUCAUAUUUUUAGUCCUAUUAGCACAUGUUUUAAUGGAACACCUUAGAACUGUGUAGUGUGUGUGCAGGCAUGUAUGUGUGUGUGUGUGUGUGUGUGUGUGUGUGUGUGUGUGUAAAUGGGUGUGCAUGUAUAGGUGUUGAAAGACCCCCAAAGGGAGACCCCCACUCAAGUCUCUGGAUAGCUGCGGACCCC
rnacentral:lncRNA from 1 species